rnacentral:lncRNA from 1 species
AUAGUGUUAACUCAAAAUUGAUGUGUUUACUGUUCAUAUUCUCAUUCUUCCUAAUCAAAAUGAUGUACCAAGGAUGAAGUUGAAAAAGAAGAAGUUUGAUUUGGUGUUUUAUUUUUAUUUACAUUAGAGAUUGAUUUGUUUGGAUUUGGUUUUGGUUGUUAAUUACAAUUACAUUUAGUUUUAUCCAUGUUACUUCAUUUUUUUGUUACUUCAAUCUUCUUACGCACACAAAUGACAU